rnacentral:lncRNA from 10 species
CCAUACUCUUCCCAGCUAAAGAUCCAUCCAUUCUCAUGGCAUCAAAUAUCAUUUCUUUGUAGAAGAUUCUCAAAUCUAUUUUCUGUAGACCCUUUUCUUCGACCUGAGCUUCAACCCUAGUUUUUCAACUCUUUCCUAGGCAUUCUCACUUGUACGUCCCAUAAUCAAUUUAAAUUCAACAUGUGGCCAGGCGCGGUGGCUCACGCUGGGCUAGGUAUUUGUCAGAAGCUGUGGCAGGCAAAUUGCUUGAGCCCAGGAGUUCAAGACCAGCCCUCGGCUACAUAGUGAGAUCCUGUCUCUUUUAGAAAACAAAUAAAUAAAUAAAUAAACCAAAUGAGAGACUAAUGGUGGAUUUGAUGGAGCAAAACAGAGGAAAAAAUAGUUUUCACUUUGGCAGAGUUGGUAACUUCCUUUGAGUAAAGUAAGAUAUACAACCCCCUGGAGCGCAGUCUGUUAAACUGUGCUAGCCUAUCCAGGUCUAGAUACAGGGACAUGCAUGAUUUCGUUUUCCACAGGCCCCUACAACUCUCUGUUGUCUUCUAUCCAGCCUGAUAUACAUGUUUAUGUAAUAUGACUGGCCCCUGCAGAUAUCUGAUUUUGUAAUAUCUGGUUUUGAGAUUUUUU